UUUUUGUCAAGCUCGAGUUCUGAUGAUGGGAUCCAUGAGGAAUCGAGGGAACUCCUCAAAUGUGAAAGGCAUACAUAUAGUGUGAUUUUAGUAUUCUCAUCAACAAAUCAAGCAUUUACAUUUAAAAAAGUGACAUUUGAUGAAGUGGAACUGCUGAUGAUGAUCAGAACGGAACUCUUCAAUGACGCAUAGUUCACGUUUGGCGAUUUGUCAUCUUCGUUAUGUUUGUUAAGCAAGUUAGGUUUUCAAGACACAUUUUUGUCAAGCUCGAGUUCUGAUGAUGGGAUCCAUGAGGAAUCGA